GAUGAACGCUAGCGGGAGGCCUAACACAUGCAAGUCGAACGGGAUUGAGAGCUUGCUCUCAUGAGAGUGGCGCACGGGUGAGUAACGCGUAUGCAACCUGCCUGUAACAGAGGGAUAGCCCAUAGAAAUGUGGAUUAAUACCUCAUAGUUCUAUUGAAUCGCAUGAUUUGAUAGAUAAAACUCCGGUGGUUACAGAUGGGCAUGCGUGACAUUAGCUAGUUGGUAAGGUAACGGCUUACCAAGGCAACGAUGUCUAGGGGUUCUGAGAGGAUGAUCCCCCANACUGGUACUGAGACACGGACCAGACUCCUACGGGAGCAGCAGUGAGGAAUAUUGGUCAAUGGGCGCAAGCCUGAACCAGCCAUCCCGCGUGAAGGAUGAAGGUCCUAUGGAUUGUAAACUUCUUUUAUACACCAAGAAAAAGCAGGACGUGUCCUGCCCCGACGGUAGUGUAUGAAUAAGCAUCGGCU
rnacentral:rRNA from 1 species